rnacentral:rRNA from 1 species
UACGUGGGGGGCAAAUGUUGUUCGGAAUCACUGGGCGUAAAGGGCGCGUAGGCGGGUUUCUAAGUCAGGUGUUUAAUCCCGGGGCCCAACCCCGGACAGGCACUUGAAACUGGGAAUCUUGAAUAGUGGAGAGGUCAGUGGAAUUGGGGGUGUAGCGGUGGAAUGCGUAGAGAUCCCCAAGAACACCAGUUGUGAAGGCGGCUGACUGGACACAUAUUGACGCUGAGGCUCGAAAGCAUGGGGAGCAAACAGG